GUUUAGUUGCUGGGUAUAGACCCGAAACCAGGCGAUCUAUCCAUGAGCAGGUUGAAGGUUGGGUAACACUAACUGGAGGACCGAACCCACUGUCGUUGAAAAGCCAGGGGAUGACUUGUGGAUAGGGGUGAAAGGCUAAUCAAGCCUGGUGAUAGCUGGUUCUCCCCGAAAGCUAUUUAGGUAGCGCCUCGGACGAAUACCAUAGGGGGUAGAGCACUGUUUCGGCUAGGGGGUCAUCCCGACUUACCAAACCGAUGCAAACUCCGAAUACCUAUGAGUACUAUCCGGGAGACAGACUGCGGGUGCUAACGUCCGUAGUCAAGAGGAAAACAAUCCAGACCGCCAGCUAAGGCCCCAAAAUCAUAGUUAAGUGGGAAACGAUGUGGGAAGGCAUAGACAGCUAGGAGGUUGGCUUAGAAGCAGCCACCCUUUAAAGAAAGCGUAAUAGCUCACUAGUCGAGUCGGCCUGCGCGGAAGAUGUAACGGGGCUAAAACUAUGUGCCGAAGCUGCGGAUGUAUACUUUGUAUACGUGGUAGGGGAGCGUUCUGUAAGCCGAUGAAGGUGUGUUGAGAAGCAUGCUGGAGGUAUCAGAAGUGCGAAUGCUGACGUGAGUAACGACAAAACGGGUGAAAAACCCGUUCGCCGAAAGACCAAGGGUUCCAGUCCAACGUUAAUCGGGGCUGGGUGAGUCGACCCCUAAGGCGAGGCCGAAAGGCGUAGUCGAUGGGAAAAUGGUUAAUAUUCCAUUACUUCUGUGUAAUGCGAUGAGAGGACGGAGAAGGCUAAAUCAGCCUGGCGUUGGUUGUCCAGGUGAAAGGAUGUAGGCAUGUAUCUUAGGCAAAUCCGGGGUACUCUAUGCUGAGAUCUGAUAGCAAGCUGUACUUGUACAGCGAAGUGGUUGAUGCCAUGCUUCCAGGAAAAGUCUCUAAGCUUCAGUUACACAGGAAUCGUACCCGAAACCGACACAGGUGGUCAGGUCGAGUAGACCAAGGCGCUUGAGAGAACUCUGCUGAAGGAACUAGGCAAAAUGGUACCGUAACUUCGGGAGAAGGUACGCUGUUGUUGGUGAUGGAACUCGCUUCCUGAGCUGACGACAGCCGCAGAAACCAGGCCGCUGCAACUGUUUAUUAAAAACAUAGCACUCUGCAAACACGAAAGUGGACGUAUAGGGUGUGAUGCCUGCCCGGUGCUGGAAGGUU
rnacentral:rRNA from 1 species